rnacentral:lncRNA from 1 species
GCCAGCACUGCCCUCUGAAUGUUGACAGAAUACCUGAUUCACACCCGUGGGAUCCUGCAUAAGAUUGCCUUGGACCAAGGGACCCAUUUGACUGAGAAAUAUGUACAUGAUCAUAAGAUUCACUGGUUCUACCAUCUUCUACCUAUUUCUUGAAAAGCUUUCUCAGAAGAUAAAGGAGCCUGCUCAGCCAGCACACAACCAUGGCCUGGAAAUGUGGAGACAGUUACAGCUUCCAGGGGCAGUUCUCAACCAAUGGGAUCAGAAGCCAGUGAACAAAUGCCCCAGUGUUCCAUCUUUCACUUGGGCAAUUCCGAGAGAUCCAAAAGAAUCAAACCCCAGGUACUUACUGCUACAAAUGGUGACAUUGCAUCCUUAUACUUUUCCUUCUUCCCUGUCUCACUCUCCCUGACCCCACCCCUCUACCAUUUUGCUUCCUGGAAUCAUCACCCAAAUAAACUAUGUCCACCAAA